GAUGAAGAACGUAGCGAAAUGCGAUAAGUAAUGUGAAUUGCAGAAUUCAGUGAAUCAUCGAGUCUUUGAACGCACAUUGCGCCCCCUGGUAUUCCGGGGGGCAUGCCUGUCCGAGCGUCAUUGCUGCCCUCAAGCACGGCUUGUGUGUUGGGCCCCCGUCCCCGGUUUCCCCCGGGGACGGGCCCGAAAGGCAGCGGCGGCACCGCGUCCGGUCCUCGAGCGUAUGGGGCUUUGUCACCCGCUCUGUAGGCCCGGCCGGCGCCAGCCGACACCCAACUUUAUUUCUAAGGUUGACCUCGGAUCAGGUAGGGAUACCCGCUGAGCUUAAGCAUAUUAAUAAGCGGAGGA
rnacentral:misc_RNA from 1 species